AAGGUCACUUAGUGCUUAGAGUGGUGGCUGAAAUGUAUCUUCCAUUUGCACUUCCAAUUCAGUGGGCCAUUAUAUAGAGAGAUGAUGAUGGUGAUGAAGAUGAUGGUGAAGAUGAAGAUAGAUAUAGAAAGAGACUUGCUAAAUUGUCAAUAUAAUAUAUAAACAUUUUCCCUUUAGCAAUUACCUUUCUCAUUUCCAAAGAUUAGUCCUGGAGCUAUCUUGAUAUUUAGAUAUUAGAAUGUAGAAUUAAUGUGAGCUACUAUAUAUUGUAUUUCAAAUGUCCUUAAAAUCAUGGCUAACCGUUUCUUCUCUCUACUCAAAAAAAAAAUCCGUGUGCAGACUCUCUGGAGCGCAUCCCUUCAGAGAGUACUUCCUGAAAGCCCUGUAUCUCCACUAUCUCGAUUCUCUGGAGUAAAUCACGACUUUAUGAUUCAUGAGUCCAAAGAGGACAGUCUUUCCAUCUAUCCAUCUUAUAACUGA
rnacentral:lncRNA from 13 species